UAUUCUCAUCGUUUUCUCGCGUCGGAUCUUUGAAUUCUUUACUGGUUUCUUGGGUGAAAGAUCGGCACCCUUUUCGGGUUAGUGGUCGAUCUUGACGGUUGCGAUGGUGGGACGGUGAGAAUUAGGGAUGAUGGUACUCGUUCUUGAUCCGGAAAAUUUUUUACGGUCCGACGUAUCAAUAGAUUUUCCUUCUGAGAGUAGUUCGAAGGACAUUGGUUUUAUUUUUCUUGUUCAGGGUUUCUGAAAUACCUGCGGACGUUGUUCUGGUUCUUUUCGUUGGUCAUUCUUGCUAAAAUUUUGUUAGGUUUAUAUUGACUGUAACUUGUUUGUGUUUUUUCUUAGAUCGGAUCCUUAGACGAAAUCAGCAAUUGAAAUUAUUUUGUCCCAGAAGUGGGUUAUACAGUAAAAAAAUACAUGCCUUCUUUAGGUCAUAUGGCUUUGUUUGCGCUAAUUUAGAAUGUGGAAUAAAAAGGACACUAUCUCACAAACAUACAUUGAAUUUACAGCUUGAGAUGGUAAAUACUGAAGCAUAUUAUCACAUAGCUGUUUGUUUUUCUUUCUUUAUGGAAUGUUAAUAACUGAUUACGUUUGUCAAUUAGACUGUACUCAUUGAAUUGUUGUCCUCUGAAAAAUUUUACAUAUACUGAUCAGGAAGUUCUUAGGUUCAUCCCCAGUUUGUUUGGUUAUCCUAUUCAAUCCUCAAAAUAAUAUAGAGUUUCUCUCAGUUUAAUUCUUCUGUGAAUGUUGUGCUAAUCUAUCAAUAGUCCGAUACAAUACAAAGUCAUGGACAAGCAUCCUUAAGUUUUGCAAAUUGAAGCUAUUAUGGAAAAUACUCAUUGUUUACUGAAUUUGAAGGUGAAAAACGAGAAAAAAUUUAAUGGUGCUUCAAGCAGUGUUAUUAAGCUUUUGAAGUGUAAUGUCAAAUAUUUGUCUUUCUCGUCAUUUAUAAAUUACCACCUAUUAGGCAUGGUGUUACUCAGAUGAACCAGGAAAGCAUCUGCAAAUUAGUUUAGAAAAGGAAAAUAAUAACAUAGGAGGACAUGACAAAAUAGUGAAAUAUUAAUAUAAAUGAUAUAUGCACAUAGAAAAGGUUUGAAGAGCACUGACAUAACUAAGAGCUGAGAGAUUAUGAUGUAUCAUGAAUGGAUCAGUACAUAAGGGAGGAGCAGUACCACUCUAGGAAUUUUAUUUAAAGUAACCAACAAUUCUUCAUAGAGUGUAACUGGAGAUUGUGGUGUUUCACACAAUGCACAUUCUGGAUGGACAUCUUCAUAAAUAAUACUUCUCUUCAUCCUGCUUUGCUACAUGUCAUGCAGGUACUUGGCCCAUUUAACAUAAUCCUAAUUGGACACCCUACAUAAAAUGACUCCAUUACUUGGAUACUGUAAGUACUACUAUCUCAUAAUAACAGAUUCUCCAUGGUUAAAUGUAACAAAGAUUCUUAAAUAGACAUGACUUCUAGGAAUCUAUUGACUGAAUCAUGUAAUGUUGGCACUUUUGAACGACCUUAGAACUUCCUAAAAGUACAGUUAGAUAAAAUAUCAACUACAAAAUAUAUGAAAUAGGAAAUCUAGUUUCAAGAUUCAUAAAUAAAUUGACUUUCUUUGAGGACUAGUAACUUGAAGAUAAACCUAUUUUGGACUAAUCUAAUCCUACACUUGAGAUACAUCAAGGGCCUAUGGAGACAACUUGCCUGGAUGAUUAGAUUCCUCUGUUAGCAGGCAAAGGUUGCCAUAUAAAGAUAUCAUUGUGCAAGAAACAAUUCAGAAAAUUUGAAGUAGCUAGGAAGUUUGAGUAAGUCAAACUUGGUAGUUGAUGUGCUGGUUGAUCCAGGAUAUGUAUAGAGAGUUGGUUUAAUUUCAAAGUUUUGGUUCAUAUUGAUAAAAUUAUCAAGAUACUUGUUAUGCACAGAAAGCAGUGCCUAUUAAUAUAACUUAUCAGAGGACAUUGAGAAGAAACAAAGAGAGAACAGUUUCUAAAAAGCGAAGGAUCUCAGUGGACUCUAUAAUAUGUGAACCACAUGUGAGUUUACAGCAAACAAGAAAAGAAAGUUCUAAAAAAAGAAGAUUAUAAAGAAAUGAAAUGGAAAAGAAACAGGUCUAUGACCAGAUGAAUUUUUCAUCAAUUCUCAUAGUUCAUUACAGUGUUUAGAAUAAUCUAAUCAUGUCCUCAGAUUGUGGUAUGACCAUAUGGAUACUUCCAAUAAAAAACAAAGAAAGAAAGAACAUAUCUGUAUAUUGCUGCUGAUCUAGAUUAGCACUCAGCUAACCAGAAAAAGGAAGGAAAGCUGCUUAAAGUUUUUCCUUACUCCUCUCAGUUGCAUCUUUCUCUCUUUAAGAAAUCAAGUUCAUCUAGAGCUAAUCUAACAAUAAUGUGGCAACUUUUGGAUGCCUAAUGUUGGCUUAAGUAGGAGGCCAAUAUUGAAAUAAGGACCAGCAAGAAGAACUAAUUUAUUACUUAGAAAUCAACUAUUUUUGUCUUGUGUUAAUUUGUCUUUUAAGGUCUUAAUUAGAAUAUUAUAUAUGGUAAUUAUUGUCCACUAUUUUUUAGAAUCAUUUGAUUAGUGAACUAGAAACCUCAAGUCUAAAAUUUCAUGCUUAUUAAAGUGGAUUUUGCUUGUUGCUUUUUAAUUAUUUAAUAAAAAGGUGGCUGAGCUGAUAUCAAUUUGGUAGGUGUUAGUACUCUUCUUCUAUAGUUAUGACCAAAAUAAAGCUGGGCCCACUUACUUAUUCAUGCAAAAUAAACAGUAUGGAAAUUGGUGUUACAAGAUUUUUGCUGGCCUCCCCUUAUUCUGUUCUUGCUUUGAUUGUAUUAGCUAGUCUCACUCUGGCUUAAUAUUAUAACAUUCCGUUCCUCCCAUACAUAUGUGUUAAAAAGUAAAAACUAUAUGAAAAUAUAGAUUUUUGACAUUCAAUCAGAUUUUAGUGCUGCUCUGAAUUAGCUCAUGUUCAAUGGGUUAUAUUUGAAUUAGUGGUUCACCAGACUAUUCACUUUCAAGCACUACAGUUGCAGAUUUCAAAUGUAAUAACCUAUUCCAAUGCAUGAAGAAUAAUGGCAGAAUACAUGAUUGGCAACAUUCAUCCACUUGGAGAAAAAGAAGCAUGAGUGGAAAUUUGAUGCACUUGCAAUGUUGAAGGAGCUCUUUGCUUUUAUUCAGGUGAUGAUGCCAAUACCAGAGAAGAUUUGGCAUGAAAGAUGUAACAAAAGAGGAGGAUUGAAAAGAAAAUUCAGUUAUUUAAAAGAAUCCAUUAUUGAGUUUUUGUGGAAGUAUUGAUAAAAACGGAAUGAAUUUAUUUUCAGAGGUA